UAACACGUGAUGCUUCCCACUAAUAAACUAUGCAAUUGUUUGGCUCUUUAUAUAUAGGUUUAAUUGUUUAAGAUAAACUAAUUAAUACCUAAAAGCUAACAAAAUAAAAUCGCUUUUCAAACAUUGAAAACCCAAAAAAAAUUGAAAAAUAGGUGUGCCCAGUUUGGUUCCAAUCGUCGUUAGAUCAUGAAUGUUCAUCCUUGCCCGUUGGAUCAGGUCAUUAGU
rnacentral:lncRNA from 1 species